rnacentral:rRNA from 1 species
GUGAGGGAUGACGGCCUUCGGGUUGUAAACCUCUUUCAGCAGGGACGAAGCGCAAGUGACGGUACCUGCAGAAGAAGCACCGGCCAACUACGUGCCAGCAGCCGCGGUAAUACGUAGGGUGCGAGCGUUUUCCGGAAUUAUUGGGCGUAAAGGGCUCGUAGGCGGUUUGUCACGUCGGGAGUGAAAACUCAGGGCUUAACCCUGAGCCUGCUUCCGAUACGGGCAGACUAGAGGUAUGCAGGGGAGAACGGAAUUCCUGGUGUAGCGGUGAAAUGCGCAGAUAUCAGGAGGAACACCGGUGGCGAAGGCGGUUCUCUGGGCAUUACCUGACGCUGAGGAGCGAAAGUGUGGGGAGCGAACAGGAUUAGAUACCCUGGUAGUCCACACCGUAAACGUUGGGCGCUAGGUGUGGGACUCAUUCCACGAGUUCCGUGCCGCAGCUAACGCAUUAAGCGCCCCGCCUGGGGAGUACGGCCGCAAGGCUAAAACUCAAAGGAAUUGACGG